AUGGCAGCCUGCCAGAACCAGUCUCCCAGCCCGGGGUCCUGCGUGGCUCUGGGACGCAGGGUACCAUCCCAGCCCACCUUGGAGGUGCUUCCUGAGACAGAAGUUAACAUUUGUGCUACUGAAGGGAUUUCUACCUUUCCUUUGCGCUCUGGAAGUUUGUGCCUGCCCAGUGACCUUGAGCGUGAGGCCUGUGACUUCCCAUUGUCCAGGCUGAAGAAACAAACAAAAGAUUGCCUCUAUGGGAUUGUGGAAUGUUUAUUAUUCUAA
rnacentral:lncRNA from 1 species